AGUGAACGCUGGCGGCAGGCCUAACACAUGCAAGUCGAGCGGCAGCGGGUCCUUCGGGAUGCCGGCGAGCGGCGGACGGGUGAGGAAUGCAUCGGAAUCUGCCCUGUCGUGGGGGAUAACCUAGGGAAACUUAGGCUAAUACCGCAUACGACCCACGGGUGAAAGCGGGGGAUCGCAAGACCUCGCGCGAUAGGAUGAGCCGAUGUCCGAUUAGCUAGUUGGCGGGGUAGAGGCCCACCAAGGCGACGAUCGGUAGCUGGUCUGAGAGGAUGAUCAGCCACACUGGGACUGAGACACGGCCCAGACUCCUACGGGAGGCAGCAGUGGGGAAUAUUGGACAAUGGGCGCAAGCCUGAUCCAGCCAUGCCGCGUGGGUGAAGAAGGCCUUCGGGUUGUAAAGUCCUUUUGUCCGGGAAGAAAUCGUCUGGGCUAAUACCCCGGGCGGAUGACGGUACCGGAAGAAUAAGCACCGGCUAACUUCGUG
rnacentral:rRNA from 1 species